rnacentral:rRNA from 1 species
UAUGGCUCAGGAUGAACGCUAGCGGCAGGCUUAACACAUGCAAGUCGAGGGGCAGCGCGGGGUAGCAAUACUCUGGCGGCGACCGGCGAAAGGGUGAGUAACGCGUGAGCAACGUGCCCGUAUGUGGGGGAUAGUCAUUAGAAAUGAUGCGUAAUACCCCGUAACACAUGGAUCCGCAUGGUUCCAUGUUGAAAGAUUUAUUGCAUACGGAUCGGCUCGCGUGCCAUUAGCUGGAUGGCGGGGUAACGGCCCACCAUGGCGACGAUGGCUAGGGGUUCUGAGAGGAAGGUCCCCCACAUUGGAACUGAGACACGGUCCAGACUCCUACGGGAGGCAGCAGUGAGGAAUAUUGGACAAUGGCCGGAAGGCUGAUCCAGCCAUGCCGCGUGCGGGAAGACGGCCCUAUGGGUUGUAAACCGCUUUUGCGGGGGAGCAAUAAGGUGCACGCGUGCACCGAUGAGAGUACCCUGCGAAUAAGCAUCGGCUAACUCCGUGCCAGCCGCCGC